AUAUCCGAUUUUCAAAAGUAACGGUGGCGUUUGAGUCUUGUAGAUAUUGAGGCUAAGUAUUCUUAAGGGAACGAAAGAAAAUAAAUUCUAAUAACUUCCAAGCAAAAAAAAAACGCAGCAAAAAAUUUCCGGAAAUAAUUGGUCCAAAACGUGUGCAAUAACGGCGAAAUAAAAUACAAAACAAUGCUGUUAUAUUUUUUAAUUAUUUGUGCGACAGAAUUUUUAAUUGUGAAUUAUGGCAGUCAUGCAGCUGGCAUAAUAAACAUAACAACAACAAGAAAUGCCACUGAAAUAACGGUAGGACCUGUGAAUUCACACACAACCAAUGAAACAACAACAUUAACAGAAGUAACAGCUAUGGGGAAUGUUUUGAGUAUAAUAAAAGGUCAAAAGCUGUCAACCGCAGAGACUUCGGCGCACAAAAUAUCCAAACCAACCCCUUCUAACCCUAAUACUCUUUUAGCAGCAGCUGAAACAGUGCCAAGCUCAUUGACCCGCGAAGAGCGUACGCUGCGCCGGUUGUUUCCAUUUUUGCUUAAUGUCACCGCCAAUACAGAUGCACCGGGCCUACUCGGUGACAAUGGUUUGCUUCCUUUGCUCUUGACAAAUUUGCUAUCUAACGAUAAUGUUGGAGUAAUUGCGGCAAGCUUAAUAAGUGCCCUGCGCGAUAGGACGACAACAACAGCCGCAACUAACGAUGUUGCAGCAAUACCAACAACAGCAUCGGUACAAAAUAUAACCAAUAAUUUUUAUACCACCUCAAGUUAUCCCUAUUAUUAUGCCGGUAAUUAUUCGCCUUAUGGUUAUUACUAUGGCUAAUGCGGAUUUAUGUCGAAUGUUCAAAUAAAAGUUUUAAGUGACAUGUGUUUUAUUGAAUUCAACUGUCCUUUUUCGGUGGAUGCUUGUUAAUUUCAUUUUUACGACAGCUAAUCAUGAAUUUAAUAUUUUCUUUCCAACUGUGUUUUUACAAAUCAUCAGCCAUUAUAGACAUUAAAAACCUGUAAUUAAGGAAUUAUUUACGAAAAAAUGGAGUUAUCCACUCCGAACAGGGAGUAGGCGAUAAAUCAA